GCUUCUUCAGUCAUGCGAGAUCUAAAGGCUGUGGACACGAGAUCUUGACCCACAUAGUUGUUUACAGCUGUGAUCGCUGUUCGCUGUAGUAGCUCGUGCUGGAUUGGCGCACGGACGGUAAAGAUCGGAAGUAGUUUGUGCAUGCUAAUGGAGGAGUUGGGGUUGUGGAUAUUUACGUUCAACGGGAGCCGCCCUUCAUUCACCACAUGGUUAAAAGCUGAGCGCGUUCGCGCCACUUUCGCAAUUUUACUACGGUUUUGUAACGCUACCCACAGCGUGCGCGGAUGCGGCGCGUUUCUACCACUGGCGCUUGAAGUUUACCGUUUAGUUUCGUCGAUUUGCCCGGAGCGUUGACAGUGAACGAAGAACCAUGGACCAGCUCCGGUCACCUUACACCAGGGUCCACAUCAGUGCCAUGCAUCUCUGUGCAGAGGUGGAUCUGCGCUGGUCAGCGUAGUGCCAAAGUGCUUACAGUGCAGGUAGUUCUGUAAAAUCUACUGCAGUGGAGGCACUUCAAGCUCUACUUUGACAUGAUCACACGUGAGCGGCGACGUGAACUACUGCUUAUGCUAAGGUGCAUUUAGUGCAGAUAGUGAAAUAGACUAGCACCUACUGCUCUAAGUGCCCCUUCUGGCAUAAGGGGCUGGCAAACCCCACUGUUCCCCAUUCUUUUAUUUCAUGCAGUUCUCUGCUAGUUUUGCAUAGUUGCACUACAAGAAAUAUUGAGUUGUGCAAAUCUAUGCAAAACUGAUGGUGGCCUGCUUCCCCAUCCUCCUCUCCUGUGCUUUGACUUUGAGCAUCUCUGCUUAAGCGUGCAUGUGUGUGUGUGCGCGUUUCUUUUCAGGUUAACCCCUGUUUGUCGUGGCUCUGCGCUGUGAAACUCUCUCUCUCUCUGGUUCCAGCAGUAUUAAAGUGCUUAUAGUGCAGGUAGUUUAUUAAAAUGCGUAUCUACUGCAAUGUGAGCACUUCAAGUACUUCUAGAUGCGAGCGUCGCGGAGAGAGCUUGACGGUCACACUUGCUUGUGCGCACUGUCCUGGUCAGUUUUGCUGGUUUGCAGUCAGCGUUCGUAUAGUUGCUGUGCAAAUCCAUGCAAAACUGAUCGUAACAGUGAGGAGUCUCCGCUUCCCGUCCCACUCCAGCAUCCCUGUCUUUGCAGGUUGGGAUCGGCCGCAAUGCUCUGCGCUGGAAGUAUUGCACUUGUCCCGGCCUGUGAAGAGCACGGGAAAUUGUUCAGCUGCUUUUGUGUUCAUUAAUAAAUUUGGACAUGUAUUUUUUUUUUUUUCUCCUGAUUUGUUUGUUGGAAUUUGGUCAUCUCAAUAAAACUGUUAAUGUACA